UUUCUCGGAGCAAAAUCGGAUUUUUGAACCUCCCUAAUCCCCGGUUACAAUCUGCAUCCUGCCAUCAGUGAGGGAGAGAAGAGGGGAGGAGGAGGGUUCUAAGCUCCGCCCACUCCCUUCUGCCAAUCCAGGCAGGCACGCACACACACACACAUGAAGAAUGAUCUUUAACUGUGAGCCACAGAGGGACGGACACUCCUGCACCUGCUGCUGCUGGGAUGGAGGGAGCGGGUGAACGAGUGCAAACUCUCUUCUUCUUCUUCUUCUUCUUCUUUGUGUUAUUUUUUUGCCGCAGUUUUGUGUCGGCGAGCGGAUUAACGGUGGCGCCCCCUGCUGACCACACAGCCACAUGUCUGGAUCAGGAGAUCCUCCUCGUCGCCCGGGCCUCCUGACGCCCUCAUGACUCCACGACGACGGCCGACAUCACAACCACCGCCACUCUUGCAGGAGCCCCCACUCUGACCUUUGACCUUGAUGAAUGGAUGCCGACAGGACUGGGGGCGGAGGACUGAGGAGGACCAUGUUCCCCUGCUGGGUCCUUCUGCUUCUCUUCUGCCAAGGAUCUGUGUUCCGUAACGUCCGGAGUGAACUUCCGUUUAUGUCGGGGAAUAACGCCGCCAUGCUCGUCAACUGGAACGCUGUUGACGGAAACAAGAAGCUGUUCGCCAUCUAUGACACCAGCGUCAAUGAGCCGGGGAACAUGUCUUUCGUGAAGGAGACGUGGACAAACUGCUC